rnacentral:rRNA from 1 species
UACGAAGGUGGCAAGCGUUGUUCGGAUUCACUGGGCGUACAGGGUGUGUAGGCGGUUUGGUAAGCCUUCUGUUAAAGCUUCGGGCCCAACCCGGAAAGCGCAGAGGGUACUGCCAGGCUAGAGGACGGGAGAGGAGCGCGGAAUUCCCGGUGUAGCGGUGAAAUGCGUAGAGAUCGGGAGGAAGGCCGGUGGCGAAGGCGGCGCUCUGGAACGUUACUGACGCUGAGACACGAAAGCGUGGGGAGCAAACAG